rnacentral:SRP_RNA from 11 species
GACGAACCGGUACCCGGAGGAUGCUUCCUGCUCCUCCUCGCCCCAGAGUACCUCGCCAGGCUCCAGCUUGCUGGCAUACACGUCCACUGGGGCUGACAGGGUCGCGGCGGUGAGGAGCGGCAGGGGAGCAGGGG